GUGUUGUGGAAAUUUUUCUCUCUGGUGCUGGUGAAUAACGAAAUGGAGACUUCUGCUGGCCGACACUGAUUUUAUUUCUUCAAAGAAAGGUGAAGGUAGAAAGUGUGUGUGAGCUGAUGUGAAUCCAGCAGCAUGGAUCAGUGUGAGGACAGAGAGGAGGGAGUCCCUCCCUCUAAAACCACUCUGAGUGGAGAACAUGAGAACCAGACCAGAGAUCAGAGAACAAAGCAGCAGCACAAACCAGACUCUGCUAGACCUGGACCUGAACCCGAACCCAGCUGUGUGUCUAUGAGGAGUGAUCGGUCAAAGGAUGCCUUCUUUGACUUUAAAAGAGAAGAAU